GACGAACGCUGGCGGCGUGCUUAACACAUGCAAGUCGAGCGGUAAGGCCCUUUCGGGGGUACACGAGCGGCGAACGGGUGAGUAACACGUGGGUGACCUGCCCUCAGUUCUGGGAUAAGCCUGGGAAACCGGGUCUAAUACUGGAUAUGACUCAUGACGCAUGUUGUGGGGUGGAAAGCCUUGUGCGACUGAGGAUGGGCCCGCGGCCUAUCAGCUUGUUGGUGGGGU
rnacentral:rRNA from 1 species